rnacentral:rRNA from 1 species
GGGUUGUGAGGUUAAGCGAAUAAGCGUACACGGUGGAUGCCUAGGCAAUCAGAGGCGAUGAAGGACGUGCUAAUCUGCGAUAAGCGUCGGUAAGGUGAUAUGAACCGUUAUACCCGACGAUUUCCGAAUGGGGAAACCCAAUAUCCAAUGGAUAUUAUCAUUAACUGAAUACAUAGGUUAAUGAAGCGAACCGGGAGAACUGAAACAUCUCAGUACCCCGAGGAAAAGAAAUCAACCGAGAUUCCCCUAGUAGCGGCGAGCGAACGGGGAACAGCCCAGAGUCUUAAUCAAUAGCAGCAUCAGGAGAACGGUCUGGAAAGUCCGGCAGUAAAGGGUGAUAGCCCCGUAUCUGAAGAUGCUGUUAUUGUGAACUCGACGAGUAGGGCGGGACACGUGUUAUCCUGUCUGAAUAUGGGGGGACCAUCCUCCAAGGCUAAAUACUCCUGAUUGACCGAUAGUGAACCAGUACCGUGAGGGAAAGGCGAAAAGAACCCCGGCGAGGGGAGUGAAAAAGAACCUGAAACCGUGUACGUACAAGCAGUAGGAGCCUCUUUAUGGGGUGACUGCGUACCUUUUGUAUAAUGGGUCAGCGACUUAUAUUCUGUAGCAAGGUUAACCGAAUAGGGGAGCCGUAGGGAAACCGAGUCUUAACUGGGCGAAUGAGUUGCAGGGUAUAGACCCGAAACCCGGUGAUCUAUCCAUGGGCAGGUUGAAGGUUGGGUAACACUAACUGGAGGACCGAACCGACUAAUGUUGAAAAAUUAGCGGAUGACUUGUGGAUGGGGGUGAAAGGCCAAUCAAACCGGGAGAUAGCUGGUUCUCCCCGAAAGCUAUUUAGGUAGCGCCUCGUGAACUCAUCUUCGGGGGUAGAGCACUGUUUCGACUAGGGGGUCAUCCCGACUUACCAACUCGAUGCAAACUGCGAAUACCGAAGAAUGUUAUCACGGGAGACACACGGCGGGUGCUAACGUUCGUCGUGAAGAGGGAAACAACCCAGACCGCCAGCUAAGGUCCCAAAGUCAUGGUUAAGUGGGAAACGAAGUGGGAAGGCUCAGACAGCCAGGAUGUUGGCUUAGAAGCAGCCAUCAUUUAAAGAAAGCGUAAUAGCUCACUGGUCGAGUCGGCCUGCGCGGAAGAUGUAACGGGGCUAAACUAUGCACCGAAGCUGCGGCAGCGAUAUGUAAAUAUUGUUGGGUAGGGGAGCGUUCUGUAAGCCUGUGAAGGUGUGCUGUGAGGCAUGCUGGAGGUAUCAGAAGUGCGAAUGCUGACAUAAGUAACGAUAAUGCGGGUGAAAAACCCGCACGCCGGAAGACCAAGGGUUCCUGUCCAACGUUAAUCGGGGCAGGGUGAGUCGACCCCUAAGGCGAGGCUGAAAAGCGUAGUCGAUGGGAAACGGGUUAAUAUUCCCGUACUGGUGGUAACUGCGAUGGGGGAACGGAGAAGGCUAGGUUGUCCGGGCGACGGUCGUCCCGGUUCAAGCAUGUAGGCAGAGUGAUUAGGCAAAUCCGGUCACUUAAUGCUGAGGUGUGAUGACGAGCCACUAAGGUGGUGAAGCAAUUGAUGCCCUGCUUCCAGGAAAAGCCUCUAAGCUUCAGGUUACCAACAAUCGUACCCCAAACCGACACAGGUGGUCAGGUAGAGAAUACUCAGGCGCUUGAGAGAACUCGGGUGAAGGAACUAGGCAAAAUGGUGCCGUAACUUCGGGAGAAGGCACGCUGGCGGUAAGUGAAGUCCCUUGCGGACGGAGCCGAAGCCAGUCGAAGAUACCAGCUGGCUGCAACUGUUUAUUAAAAACACAGCACUGUGCAAACACGAAAGUGGACGUAUACGGUGUGACGCCUGCCCGGUGCUGGAAGGUUAAUUGAUGGGGUUAUCCGUAAGGAGAAGCUCUUGAUCGAAGCCCCAGUAAACGGCGGCCGUAACUAUAACGGUCCUAAGGUAGCGAAAUUCCUUGUCGGGUAAGUUCCGACCUGCACGAAUGGCGUAAUGAUGGCCAGGCUGUCUCCACCCGAGACUCAGUGAAAUUGAACUCGCUGUGAAGAUGCAGUGUACCCGCGGCAAGACGGAAAGACCCCGUGAACCUUUACUAUAGCUUGACACUGAACAUUGAGCCUUGAUGUGUAGGAUAGGUGGGAGACUUAGAAGUGUGGACGCCAGUCUGCAUGGAGUCAACCUUGAAAUACCACCCUUUAACGUUUGAUGUUCUAACCUAGGCCCAUAAUCUGGGUCGGGGACCGUGUCUGGUGGGUAGUUUGACUGGGGCGGUCUCCUCCUAAAGAGUAACGGAGGAGCACGAAGGUUGGCUAAGCAUGGUCGGACAUCAUGCGGUUAGUGCAAAGGCAUAAGCCAGCUUGACUGUGAGAGUGACGGCUCGAGCAGGUACGAAAGUAGGUCUUAGUGAUCCGGUGGUUCUGAAUGGAAGGGCCAUCGCUCAACGGAUAAAAGGUACUCCGGGGAUAACAGGCUGAUACCGCCCAAGAGUUCAUAUCGACGGCGGUGUUUGGCACCUCGAUGUCGGCUCAUCACAUCCUGGGGCUGAAGUAGGUCCCAAGGGUAUGGCUGUUCGCCAUUUAAAGUGGUACGCGAGCUGGGUUUAGAACGUCGUGAGACAGUUCGGUCCCUAUCUGCCGUGGGCGUUGGAAGAUUGAGAGGGGUUGCUCCUAGUACGAGAGGACCGGAGUGAACGCACCACUGGUGUUCGGGUUGUCAUGCCAAUGGCAUUGCCCGGUAGCUAAGUGCGGAAGAGAUAACCGCUGAAAGCAUCUAAGCGGGAAACUUGCCUCGAGAUGAGUCUUCCCUGUCACCUAGAGUGACCUAAAGGAACGUUUAAGACUAAGACGUUGAUAGGCUGGGUGUGUAAGCGUAGCGAUACGUUGAGCUAACCAGUACUAAUGAACCGUGAGGCUUAACCUGACAACACCGAAGGUGUUU